rnacentral:rRNA from 1 species
GACGAACGCUGGCGGCGUGCCUAAUACAUGCAAGUAGAACGCACAGUUUAUACCGUAGCUUGCUACACCAUAGACUGUGAGUUGCGAACGGGUGAGUAACGCGUAGGUAACCUGCCUGGUAGCGGGGGAUAACUAUUGGAAACGAUAGCUAAUACCGCAUAAUAUUGAUUAUUGCAUGAUAAUUGAUUGAAAGAUGCUAUUGCAUCACUACCAGAUGGACCUGCGUUGUAUUAGCUAGUAGGUGAGGUAACGGCUCACCUAGGCGACGAUACAUAGCCGACCUGAGAGGGUGAUCGGCCACACUGGGACGGAGACACGGCCCAGACUCCUACGGGAGGCAGCAGUAGGGAAUCUUCGGCAAUGGACGAAAGUCUGACCGAGCAACGCCGCGUGAGUGAAGAAGGUUUUCGGAUCGUAAAGCUCUGUUGUAAGAGAAGAACGGGUGUGAGAGUGGAAAGUUCACACUGUGACGGUAUCUGACCAGAAAGGGACGGCUAACUACGUG